AAUGAAUGGAGGGCGGCGGCGACUGCUGCAGCUGGGCCAGCUGCGCGGGCUGCACCUCCCAGCCUGCGAGAGGAGGAAGCUAGUAGAAGGUUUGUACCAACAAAACUAAGGAGUAAACAACUUGAGAAUAACUGUGUGAGCUCAGGGCUUGGACUGUCAGAUUACAUUUCUAAGCUUCCAGAAGAGCAACACAUAGACACGGGAAGUCAGAGCCUUUGAACUCAAAUGCCAUCCCCGUCACCCACCUCCACCACCAGCACCACCACCGAAUGGCUCUUUGGACAACUUUUCCCUCUCAUGUGAGUUUUGUCAUUUCUUACACCAAUUGGAACCAGCACCUCUCAAAUUCAUCUUCUAAAACCCAGAAAAUUGUGUGGAACACAUGAUGACUGAAAGGUGAGUAGGCUGACCAGGUAAGAGCCUACCACUGGAAUGGAAGGCUGCGGGAGAGUGAGGGGACGACGGACGUCAACCAGGAAGAGCUGAAAUAGGACGUUACCAGAACAACUUCCAGUAAAAGAAGUCACUGAGGAUUAAAUGCUACAUGGGAGCAGUUGCUGAUUUUUGCAAUGGGAGGCUGCAUAGAU